UACGUAGGUGGCGAGCGUUAUCCGGAUUUACUGGGUGUAAAGGGCGUGUAGGCGGUUAGUCGCGUCGGAAGUGAAACUCGGGCCUUAAUCCCGAGCUUGCUUCCGAUACGGGCUGACUAGAGGAAGGUAGGGGUGUGUGGAACUCUUGGUGGAGCGGUGGAAUGCGUAGAUAUCAAGAGGAACGCCGAAGGUGAAGACAGCACACUGGACUUGUACUGACGCUGAGGCGCGAAAGCGUGGGGAGCAAACAGGAUUAGAUACCCUGGUAGUCCCUGA
rnacentral:rRNA from 1 species